UCGAGAGCCGGUGCGGCGGGCGCGGGCAUACGUAGGGUCAAAGCGUUAUCCGGAAGUACUGGGCGUAAAGAGUGUCGUAGGGGGCAUAGUAAGCAAGUAGUGAAAGCGUUCGGCUCAACCGAAUAUACAUUAUUUGAACUGCUAAGCUAGAGGAUGAGAGAGGUUAUUGGAAUGCCCAGUGUAGGAGUGAAAUCCGUAGAUAUUGGGAGGAACACCGAUGGCGUAGGCAGAUAACUGGCUCAUUCCUGACACUAAGGCACGAAAGCGUGGGGAGCGAACGGGAUUAGAUACCCCAGUAGUC
rnacentral:rRNA from 1 species